UAAUGAUCCAUCUACAGGUUCACCUGCAGAAACCUUGUUGGGACUUUCACUUCCUCUAGAUAGCCAAGUUCGACUUCUUCUUAGCACACAACCAGGGCCAUGGGCAGACACCUUCAGGGCCAAUCUGAGGGCCUCACUAAACCAUCCAAUUGGUAGUAGGGACAGGCAGUGUGUACAAAGGACAGGGACAUAAUUACUGCAAGCUUAUGACCCGCACUUACUGCGAAUUCCUCAUACAUGGGGAAUAAUUGCAAUGCCUGAUCUCCAUCAUGAAUGGGGUUCAAUGGGUAACUCACUCCUGCUGGCAUAGAGUAGGCACAGGCUGAGACAGUCAGUGUAGUGUGCAAGCAGCCUCAGACAUCUAAGGGCAUCACAGACCUGUUAUUGCUCAAUCUCAGGUGGCUGAAUGCCACUUGUCCCUAUAAGAACUUGGGGGAUGCUGACUGCUCGGGGAGUCACUUAACUAGUUAGCAUGCCAGAGUCUCCUUCCUUAUUGGAAUUAACCAGACAAAUUGCUCCACCAAAUAAGAAUGGCCAUGCACCACCACCCAUGGAUUCAAGAAAGAGCUAUGAAUCUGUCAAUCCUGUCCAUGUCUGGUCCGGGUGAGGUCUCCUGUAUAGAUCAAAUUAAGCUGAAGGUCCACUCCUAGUGGUGCCCUUCCAUCAAUUCCUUUAAGUUUCAGCUUUGCAACCAUACUCCCCCCAAACCCAAAUGCUUAGGUUUUCAGGAAGCUACCCAGGAGGAUCAGGAAAUAACACCACUGCAUCUCCAGUUGGCAUUGUUUGUGGUCGGAACUAGGAUGGUAUCUGAUCAUCUUCGAACCUCCGACUUACUUUCUUGAUUAAUGAAAACAUUCUUGGCAAACGCUUUCCCUCUGGUCUGUCUUGCACUGGUCCAAGAAUUUCACAUUUAUUGGCAAAAUAGGAUUGCCCCAAGCACCCCUCUUAAUUAUGACCUCAGUUCCAAAAACCAACAAAAUAGAACC
rnacentral:sRNA from 1 species